rnacentral:rRNA from 1 species
CGGACGGGUGAGUAACACGUGGAUAACCUACCUAUAAGACUGGGAUAACUUCGGGAAACCGGAGCUAAUACCGGAUAAUAUUUUGAACCGCAUGGUUCAAAAGUGAAAGACGGUCUUGCUGUCACUUAUAGAUGGAUCCGCGCUGCAUUAGCUAGUUGGUAAGGUAGCGGCUUACCAAGGCAACGAUGCAUAGCCGACCUGGGAGGGUGAUCGGCCACACUGGAACUGAGACACGGUCCAG